GCGCAGAGAAGAAUCUCCCACUCCGCAGCAUAAAUUAAAUCAUUUCCGGCAUCUCCAGGCAUCGUUCUUUCCGUCCCUAACAGCGGCACGGAGAUCUUUGCUGCUUCUGUAACAUCUUACAACAACAACAAUUUAACAUCUUUCUUUUGGGACAGUAAAGCAUUACAACCCAAUUCAAUAUGACUUACAGUGGUGGAUCAUCUGGUGGAUACCGCAAUGGCGGAUCAGGAAAAGGAGGAGCUGGCCAACGUGGAAGUGCACCAUCGCGCAACGGCUUUGGAGGCGGUGGGGGUGCUGGAGGUAAUAGAUUUGGUGGUAACCGCGGAGGUAGCAACGGAGCAUCCGGUGGACGCUUCGGUGGCAACAAUCGCGCUAACAACAAUAAUCCUAAGACAGCUGGCAAUAGUUUAAAGAAACCCAACUGGGAUUAUGAAAAUUUGAAGCCUUUCAAAAAAGAUUUUUACAUUCCACAUUUAAAUGUCUCCAAGCGUAACUACAAUGAAAUUGAUUCCUUCAGACAAGAGAAAGAAAUUACUCUUAAAGGAGAGAAGAUUCCACACCCAAUUCAAACUUUUGACGAGGGUAACUUCCCAGAUUACGUGAUGGAGGGAAUAAAGAAACAAGGCUUCACUGAGCCAACCGCAAUUCAAUCUCAAGGUUGGCCAAUCGCGAUGUCCGGUCGUAACAUGGUCGGUAUUGCACAAACAGGAUCUGGAAAAACUUUAGGCUACAUUUUACCUGCUAUUGUACACAUAAACAACCAACAACCUCUGAACCGUGGUGAUGGUCCAAUCGCCCUAGUACUUGCUCCCACGAGAGAACUGGCCCAGCAAAUCCAGACUGUAGCCAACGACUUUGGUUCUCUAUCUUACGUCAGAAACACAUGUAUUUUCGGUGGAGCACCCAAAGGCGCACAAGCGCGUGACUUGGAACGCGGUGUCGAGAUCGUCAUUGCAACACCUGGAAGACUUAUUGAUUUCCUCGAACGCGGCACAACCAAUCUGCGCAGGUGCACCUACUUGGUACUCGAUGAAGCUGAUCGUAUGUUGGACAUGGGUUUCGAACCCCAAAUAAGAAAAAUAAUUGAACAGAUCCGCCCAGACAGACAAGUACUUAUGUGGUCCGCCACUUGGCCAAAGGAAGUUAGAAUGCUAGCUGAAGAAUAUCUCGUAGAUUACACCCAAUUGAACAUUGGAUCUCUUUCAUUGUCAGCGAACCAUAACAUCUUGCAAAUCGUUGAUGUAUGUCAAGAGCACGAGAAAGAGGCAAAAUUGGGAACAUUACUCCAAGAAAUUGGUAACGUUAAUGACGAUGGCGGAAAAACUAUAAUAUUUGUGGAGACUAAGAAAAAAGUUGAAAAUAUCACAAGAAAUAUCAGACGAUACGGCUGGCCCGCUGUAUGUAUGCAUGGAGACAAAUCUCAACAAGAACGUGAUUAUGUUCUUAGAGAGUUCAGAAACAAAAAGGGCUCGAUUCUUGUAGCAACAGACGUUGCUGCCCGUGGACUUGAGGCACAUAAUGCACAGAUUCUGUUGAGUGUGCGAUGAACGAAAAAUCUAAACUAAAUAUUUAUUUGAAUAAAUAAAAGAAAAAUAUAUGAUAAAAGUCAUUAUCAGAACCAUGGCUCACUCAAUGUCUGUGCUCUUUUUAUUAAGAACUAUAUACUAAAGUGAUAUAUAGAGAAUAUGUACAUGCGCAUAACGCGUUCGUUUUAUAAAACAUGUACUUAUUAAUGUGCCUCUGUGUACGGCCUGUGUACCACGCAACUAUAUAGUGGUGCGCGGGUAUUGUCGCGCUGGUUGGCUGAAAGGGAUAUUUAAAUGGCUAUUGGUUAGCACGCACACGCCGUUAAUAGAUCAAUAUUAUCAGCCGGUGCGAGACAACAAUCUAUUGAUUUUGCUACUAUCGCUAUUUGUGAGAAUAUAUAGGAGUGUCAAUCUGAACUUGCAUUUAACUGUUGUACAACGCCGAGGAAGUAUACUUUAGCGCUUACAUCGAAUGCAAUGUUCAGCAAUGAUAUGAUGUCGAUGAUGUUAAGUAUGUGAUCAACUUCGACUAUCCAUCUUCGUCGGAAGAUUACAUUCACAGAAUCGGUAGAACAGGACGAUCACA